rnacentral:rRNA from 1 species
GAUGAACGCUGGCGGCGUGCCUAAUACAUGCAAGUCGAGCGAACGGACGAGAAGCUUGCUUCUCUGAUGUUAGCGGCGGACGGGUGAGUAACACGUGGAUAACCUACCUAUAAGACUGGGAUAACUUCGGGAAACCGUAGCUAAUACCGGAUAAUAUUUUGAACCGCAUGGUUCAAAAGUGAAAGACGGUCUUGCUGUCACUUAUAGAUGGAUCCGCGCUGCAUUAGCUAGUUGGUAAGGUAACGGCUUACCAAGGCAACGAUGCAUAGCCGACCUGAGAGGGUGAUCCGCCACCCCGGAACUGAGACCCGGGCCCGACUCCUACGGGAGGCCGCAGUUGGGAAUCUUCCGCAAUGGGCGAAAGCCUUACGGAGCAACGCCGCGUGGGUGAUGAAGGGCUUCGGAUCGUAAAACUCUGUUAUUAGGGAAGAACAUAUGUGUAAGUAACUGUGCACAUCUUGACGGUACCUAAUCAGAAAGCCACGGCUAACUACGUG